rnacentral:rRNA from 1 species
CUACGGGGGGCAGCAGUGAGGAAUAUUGCACAAUGGGGGGAACCCUGAUGCAGCAACGCCGCGUGGAGGAUGACGCAUUUCGGUGUGUAAACUCCUUUUAUAUGUCAAGAAAAUGACGGUAGCAUAUGAAUAAGCACCGGCUAACUCCGUGCCAGCAGCCGCGGUAAUACGGAGGGUGCAAGCGUUACUCGGAAUCACUGGGCGUAAAGGACGCGUAGGCGGGUUGGAAAGUCAGGUGUGAAAUCCUACAGCUUAACUGUAGAACUGCACUUGAAACUUCUAAUCUAGAGUAUGGGAGGGGGGGAUGGAAUUAGUGGUGUAGGGGUAAAAUCCGUAGAUAUCACUAGGAAUACCUAAAGCGGAGGCGAUCUCCUGGAACAUUACUGACGCUAAGGCGUGAAAGCGUGGGGAGCAAACAGGAUUAGAUACCCUCGUAGUC